CUCCCUAGUGAUGUGUUCCGGGCAUGCCCAGCUGGGAGAAGGCCCCGGGGCAGACCAAGGACACGCUGGAGGGAUUAUGUCUCACAGCUGGCCUGGGAACGCCAUGAUGUCCUCCCGGUGGAGCUGGAGGAGGUGGCCGGGGACCGGGAAGUCUGGGCCUCCCUACUGAGACUGUUGACCCCGCAACCUGGACCCGGAUAAGCGGAGGAGAAUGGAUGGCUCGCCAACUACUACUGUGUUCACGUGCCAGCUCACGCCACUCAGGUCUGCUUCCAAGGCUGCCACUCAUCCCUCGGCCGAGCUGCGGGGUCCAACGAGGGGGAGAAGAUGACACAACACAACACGAAACAGCUGCAGCGACAACGAGACUGGCACUCAUCAGGGCAUGCAACUCCACACAGCAUUUGUUGCAGGCUACUUCCUGGUUCCUGGAGAUUUAACAACAGCCCUGUUUCUCCAUAACUUUGCCCCUCCCUGUCCUUGGGAAUAAGAUAUCCCUGCCAAUCCUCCGAGGUAUGCAGCAUUUCAGGCCGUCUCAUCCUUUUCGCUACUGCUCAUCAUUGCAAAAGCGUGUAAUACAAUACCCACCAUCGACUUAUUGGAGAGCUGCUCCUGACUAUGCACGGAGUCCACUGUGUAGCUCCGGCUAAUUUCACUCAAUGGUGCAUGAGUAAAUGUUAGAUGAAGCCAGUGAACCCUGCGAUAUGAGAAUAUUGUCAGCGUCACUGCGGGCCUCCAUCUGUUAAUGCACUUUUGGACAGUCUAUUGAGAUGCUAAAUAAUUUAAUUGGUGCUAUCAUUCCAGCACAAAGCUAUUUGACGGUGGAAAGGAAGUUGUGGCAAGUAUCAAUAACGCUGUUGAGAGCAUUUGCCAUAAGUCAAAUAACAGGACUUUUGGCAGAAUUAUGUCAUAAUUUGACCUGAUAAUUAAAAGCUUUAAUAUUCUCUGCGGGCGGCACGGUGGUCUAGUGGUUAGCGCGCAGACCUCACAGCGAGUAGACAAAGGUUCAAUUCCACCCUCGGCCAUCUUGUGGGUUUUCUCCGAGUACUCUGGUUUCCUCCCACAUUCCAAAAACAUGCUAGGUUAAUUGGCGACUCCAAAUUGUCCAUAGGUAUGAAUGUGAGUGUGAAUGGUUGUUUGUCUAUAUGUGCCCUGUGAUUGGCUGGCCACCAGUCCAGGGUGUACCCCGCCUCUCGCCCGAAGACAGCUGGGAUAGGCUCCAGCACCCCCGCGACCCUCGUGAGGAAAAAGCGGUAGAAAAUGAAUGAAUGAAUGAAUGA